CCUCUCGCGUCAGGAUAUGCCUAGGUGGGAUUAGCUAGUUGGUGAGGUAAUGGCUCACCAAGGCGACGAUCCCUAGCUGGUCUGAGAGGAUGAUCAGCCACACUGGAACUGAGACACGGUCCAGACUCCUACGGGAGGCAGCAGUGGGGAAUAUUGCACAAUGGGCGCAAGCCUGAUGCAGCCAUGCCGCGUGUGUGAAGAAGGCCUUCGGGUUGUAAAGCACUUUCAGUCGUGAGGAAGGUAGUGUAGUUAAUAGCUGCAUUAUUUGACGUUAGCGACAGAAGAAGCACCGGCUAACUCCGUGCCAGCAGCCGCGGUAAUACGGAGGGUGCGAGCGUUAAUCGGAAUUACUGGGCGUAAAGCGCAUGCAGGUGGUUUGUUAAGUCAGAUGUGAAAGCCCGGGGCUCAACCUCGGAAUUGCAUUUGAAACUGGCAGACUAGAGUACUGUAGAGGGGGGUAGAAUUUCAGGUGUAGCGGUGAAAUGCGUAGAGAUCUGAAGGAAUACCGGUGGCGAAGGCGGCCCCCUGGACAGAUACUGACACUCAGAUGCGAAAGCGUGGGGAGCAAACAGGAUUAGAUACCCUGGUAGUCCACGCCGUAAACGAUGUCUACUUGGAGGUUGUGGCCUUGAGCCGUGGCUUUCGGAGCUAACGCGUUAAGUAGACCGCCUGGGGAGUACGGUCGCAAGAUUAAAACUCAAAUGAAUUGACGGGGGCCCGCACAAGCGGUGGAGCAUGUGGUUUAAUUCGAUGCAACGCGAAGAACCUUACCUACUCUUGACAUCCAGAGAACUUUCCAGAGAUGGAUUGGUGCCUUCGGGAACUCUGAGACAGGUGC
rnacentral:rRNA from 1 species